CUGACAUCCUAAAGUGCUUUAAAAGGACCUAAUUCCUUUAAACAGCAGCAAAAGUGAAGUGGGGAUGCGUGAAUCACUGACAAACAUGAAAAUAAAAAGGUAAUCGGCCAGGUCAGUCUGACCCCCCCCUGCCACCUGAAAAGGAAUGCUCCUCCGGAUCUGCACGGCCUCUACAAGUGCCUCCAGAGUUCCCACCCUCUACUGGCCGUGACGUCACAGAUCCGGAUCCGAGAG